rnacentral:rRNA from 1 species
CGUAGGGUCCAAGCGUUAUCCGGAAUCACUGGGCGUAAAGCGUGCGUAGGUGGCGCGUUAAGUGAGAUGUUAAAUCGUGGGGCUCGACCCUGUCGGUGCAUCUCAUACUGGCGUGCUAGAGGACAGCAGAGGCAAGUGGAAUUAGCAGUGUAGCAGUGAAAUGCGUAGAUAUUGCUAGGAACACCAAUGGCGAAGGCAGCUUGCUGGGCUACUCCUGACACUGAGGUACGAAAGCGUGGGGAGCGAACAGGAUUAGAUACCCUGGUAGUCCACGCCGUAAACGAUGCAUACUAGACGUAUGGGGUAUCGACCCCCUGUGCGUCGAAGCUAACACGAUAAGUAUGCCGCCUGGGAAGUACGGCCGCAAGGCUA